UUGACCUCGGAUCAGGUAGGGAUACCCGCUGAACUUAAGCAUAUCAAUAAGCGGAGGAACUUUUGAGUUAAACGCCCCAACCUUUGUGAACCUACCCUACAUUUGUGAGAGGCGCUGGUUCCGACCCCUGUGGAUAGAGGGAGGCCCUGCUGUUCCCCUAAAUUCUGUUCUCCGUAUAUUUUAGGGAAAUGGGUAGAAAAACAGACUAUAACUUCAACUCUCACGUAUUUUGGGAUUUUUGCUUCCAGUAAAAAACCAAAGGAACUAUUUCAGGG
rnacentral:rRNA from 1 species